ensembl:snRNA U6 U6 spliceosomal RNA
AUGCAAAAUUAGAUUCAGCAGCAUAUAUACUAACAUUGGAACAAUACAAAGAAAGUUAGCAUGGCCCCUGCACAAGGAUGACAUGCAAAUUCAUGAAGUGUUCCACAUGAAA